rnacentral:rRNA from 1 species
GGGGAAUAUUGGACAAUGGGCGAAAGCCUGAUCCAGUCAUGCCGCGUGAGUGAUGAAGGCCCUAGGGUUGUAAAGCUCUUUCACCGGUGAAGAUAAUGACGGUAACCGGAGAAGAAGCCCCGGCUAACUUCGUGCCAGCAGCCGCGGUAAUACGAAGGGGGCUAGCGUUGUUCGGAAUUACUGGGCGUAAAGCGCACGUAGGCGGAUAUUUAAGUCAGGGGUGAAAUCCCGGGGCUCAACCCCGGAACUGCCUUUGAUACUGGGUAUCUAGAGUAUGGUAGAGGUGAGUGGAAUUCCGAGUGUAGAGGUGAAAUUCGUAGAUAUUCGGAGGAACACCAGUGGCGAAGGCGGCUCACUGGACCAUUACUGACGCUGAGGUGCGAAAGCGUGGGGAGCAAACA